AACUCUUAGCGGUGGAUCACUCGGCUCGUGCGUCGAUGAAGAACGCAGCUAGCUGCGAGAACUAAUGUGAAUUGCAGGACACAUUGAUCAUCGACACUUCGAACGCACCCUUGCGGCCCCGGGUUCCUCCCCGGGGCCACGCCUGUCUGAGGGUCG
rnacentral:rRNA from 1 species